rnacentral:rRNA from 1 species
UAGGGAAUAUUGGACAAUGGGGGCAACCCUGAUCCAGCAAUGCCGCGUGUGUGAAGAAGGCCUGCGGGUUGUAAAGCACUUUCAGUAGAGAAGAAAAGCUCAUCAAUAAUACCGGUGAGUCUUGACGUAACCUACAGAAGAAGCACCGGCUAACUCCGUGCCAGCAGCCGCGGUAAUACGGAGGGUGCGAGCGUUAAUCGGAAUUACUGGGCGUAAAGCGCGCGUAGGCGGCUUUGUAAGUCGGAUGUGAAAGCCCCGGGCUUAACCUGGGAAUUGCAUUCGAUACUGCUGAGCUAGAGUAUGGUAGAGGGAAGUGGAAUUCCGGGUGUAGCGGUGAAAUGCGUAGAUAUCCGGAGGAACACCAGUGGCGAAGGCGACUUCCUGGGCCAAUACUGACGCUGAGGUGCGAAAGCGUGGGGAGCAAACAGGAUUAGAUACCCCCGUAGUCC